GUAAAGCAAGAAUUUCCAAGUUCUGCGAUAACGUGACUUGCGGCUUCGUGAGAUUACCUGCUACGUUUCUCGAAGUGAAAGCGAAUUUCUUUCAGCCUCAUUUGUGGAUUGAAGGUAAUGAUAUAUUUUCACUUAUUUAUAUCAGUUAUAAAAUUAGCUUAUUAGUCUUUUGACAGAUUUAUGUAAUUGUAGAUUCAAUUUUAAGUUAAAUGUAAUUCAUUUUGUGCUAAUUUGUAAAGUACAGUGAUGGAAGACUAUCGGACUGGAUUUGGCACAAGUUAGAGGAGUGGAUUUUAAGGAUUUUACCACAAAACAUGUAUGAAAUCAUGGAAGCAAAGAAGGUGAAACGUCUCCUUCAUUAUAUAAAACUGCAGCAGAAAUAACUGAUCCUUACAGUCAAUAUCAAUGAUUGGAAAUGUACAUCAUAACCUGUGGCGUGGUGGUGCAGUGGUUAGCGCUGCUGCCUCACAGCAAGAAGGUCCUGGGAUCGGUCCCUGGGUCGGGUGUAGGACCUUUCUGAUGUGGAGUUUGCAUGCUGUUCAUAUGGGUUUCCGCCAGGGGCUCUGAUUUCCUCCCACAGUCCAAAAAGUGUGCACGGUGGGUUAAUUGGCGAAUAUAAGUUGGCCCUGUGAGUUUGUGUGCCCUGAAGUGUGUUGGUGACUGCCCAGGUUUGGUUCUGGCCUGUGCUCGUUGUUCCACAGAUAGGCUCUAGUCCCCCCCGCAACCCUGGUUGGGAUUACGUGGUGAUGGAUGGAAUCAACAUAUUUGUGUUGCAAACUAUUAAAUUAAGAAAUUAUUAUGAUCUAAAGUGUGAAAAUGUACUUUAGUGGAACUGUUUGGAUUGAAAUUGUAAUGGCAAGUGUUUUUAAAAUGUAAAAGUUCACACUGAAAAUAUAAAUGAACACCCACGGUAUAAUUGUGUUAGUGAUUGCAACAAUAUAUAGAAUAAUGGGCUGGAAACUCUAUCUAAAAAACAUUUUAAAACUUGAAUAACUUUUAUCCCAAACUUUGCCCUUCAUCAAUGUCAUUUAGUAUAACGAAGGUACAAUGUAAUUUAAAGCACAUCACGUUAUGGUAAUGUGGCAGUGUGUGACAUCACAAUGAAGGCCCCUGUUUCUAGGUGCUGAGGUGAGUAAAUCUCUCUCAAAUAUUUGAUCCAUCCAUCCAUGUUCUGCUGCCAGAUAUGACCGUUAACUUUCUCAUGAAUCGAAGGAUUACAUCAAAUGACCUUCAAAAAGAAUGGGAAACAUUAAGUGCAGGUGUGAAGUGCACUAGGACAGUUUGUAUCAGGCUCCUAGAAGCAGGACUGAAGUCCCAUAAAGGAAGGAAGAAGCCCUUAAUUAAUGAGAAACAAAGAAGAGCCGGCCUAGAAUGGCUACUUCUUCACCACAAUCCACAAAAUCCUGAUGGAGCUUGAUGCAAAGAGAAUGUCAAGCAAAGUACAUGCUCUGAACAUCAAGCUACAAAUGAUUAAAUAAAUCCCAAUAACUUUGUUGACAGCCAUUUAAUAUUUGUUUUUCCUUUCACAUCUCAGUUGUUCGUUUAAUUACUUAAGAAUAACUGUUACAGCAAGCACUUUAAAAAAUGUUUACAAAAUGUUCCAGGACCCGGUUUAGUUGCACGUUUAUUUGUGCUGUAUUAGUAAAAAAAUUUGAUGUGACGUUUUCUGUGAAACGUUUAAAAUUGUCCACUGUUACUGGCCACUGUAUUCUUGUUCAUAGCUAUGCAUCAAUACAUUGUAAUAAAGUGGACUGUUGCAGUAAA